rnacentral:rRNA from 1 species
CCCUUAGAGUUUGAUCCUGGCUCAGGAUGAACGCUGGCGGCGUGCUUAACACAUGCAAGUCGAACGGGAAACAUUUCAUUGAGGCUUCGGCGGAUUUGGUCUGUUUCUAGUGGCGGACGGGUGAGUAACGCGUGGGUAACCUGCCUUGUACUGGGGGAUAACAGCCAGAAAUGGCUGCUAAUACCGCAUAAGCGCACGGGACCGCAUGGUCCUGUGUGAAAAACUCCGGUGGUAUAAGAUGGACCCGCGUUGGAUUAGCUGGUUGGCAGGGCAGCGGCCUACCAAGGCGACGAUCCAUAGCCGGCCUGAGAGGGUGAACGGCCACAUUGGGACUGAGACACGGCCCAGACUCCUACGGGAGGCAGCAGUGGGGAAUAUUGCACAAUGGGGGAAACCCUGAUGCAGCGACGCCGCGUGAAGGAAGAAGUAUCUCGGUAUGUAAACUUCUAUCAGCAGGGAAGA